rnacentral:rRNA from 1 species
GAUGAACGCUGGCGGCGUGCUUAACACAUGCAAGUCGAACGGAAAGGCGAAAGCUUGCCUGGGUACUCGAGUGGCGAAGGGGGGAGUAACACGUGGGUGAAAUGCCCUGCAAUGCGGGAGAAGCCUGGGGAACAGGGGCGAUUACCGGAGAGGACCACAUGAUGGAUGGGGUGGUGGAAAGUUUUUCGGUGUGGGAUGAGCUCGCGGCCUAUCAGCUUGUUGGUGGGGUAAUGGCCUACCAAGGCGUCGACGUGUAGCCGGCCGGAGAGGUUGUACGGCCGCCCUGGGUCUUAGUGGCGGCCCCGACUCCUACUGGUGCGCGCAGUGGGGAAUCUUGCACGAUGGGCGCCAGCCUGAUGAUGCGACGCCGCGUGUGGUAUGACGGUCUUCGUGUUGUAAACUCCUUUCGCUAGGGACGGAGCGUUAUUUGACGGUACCUGGAGAGGAAGCCCCGGCUAACUACGUG